UGGGGAAUCUUCCGCAAUGGACGAAAGUCUGACGGAGCAACGCCGCGUGUAUGACGAAGGCCUUCGGGUUGUAAAGUACUGUCUUUGGGGACGAACGGCAGGUGUGAGAAUAUUGCACUUGCAUGACGGUACCCAAGGAGGAAGCCCCGGCUAACUACGUGCCAGCAGCCGCGGUAAUACGUAGGGGGCGAGCGUUGUCCGGAAUCAUUGGGCGUAAAGGGCGCGUAGGCGGGUCAUUAAGUCUGGUGUGAAAGGCAGGGGCUCACCCCUGGAAGGCACGGAAACUGGUUAUCUUGAGGACAGGAGAGGAAAGCGGAAUUCCACGUGUAGCGGUGAAAUGCGUAGAUAUGUGGAGGAACACCAGUGGCGAAGGCGGCUUUCUGGACUGUAACUGACGC
rnacentral:rRNA from 1 species